rnacentral:rRNA from 1 species
ACUCCUACGGGAGGCAGCAGUGGGGAAUAUUGGACAAUGGGGGAACCCGUGCAUCCAGCCAUGCCGCGUGUGUGAAGAAGGCCUUUUGGUUGUAAAGCACUUUAAGCGAGGAGGAGGCUUACCUGGUUAAUNCCCGGGUAAUAAGUGGACUGUUUACUUCGCAGAUAAGACACCGCGUAACUCUGUGCCAGCAGCCGCGGUAAUACAGAGGGUGCAAGCGUUAAUCGGAUUUACUGGGCGUAAAGCGCGCGUAGGUGGCUAAUUAAGUCAAAUGUG